rnacentral:tRNA from 1 species
GCCCUCUUAGCUCAGCUGGAUAGAGCGGCCCCCUCCUAAGGGGCAGGUCGCAGGUUCGACUCCUGCAGAGGGCACCA